UUGAUCUGAUGGCAACGUGCAUGCAUUUAGGUGAUGUGUUAUGUUAUGUCAUCCAUAAAUGGCGCUCUUGCCGGAAAUGGGUCCCGGCUAGGACUUCUUAAGCUCAGAUUUGUUUUUUACAGGUUACGCCCCACCUAAAUGUCGCUGUGCAUAGUUUUUUUUUUUUAGUGCUCACCGCAAAAGAAUAAUAUGUAUCAGUUCUGUGCCUUUACAUGGCAACACAGUUAAUUUUCCCAGGUAAUAUUUCAGUUCCGCCGCUUGCUUGCUUUGGAAUCCGCAGGUCCAUAUGCAAUAAUUGGAAUGCAGAACUUACAUCGAGUCACGCCCAGGAAAAAAUAUGGCAACAAUUUCUGAGGAAAUGAACCCAACAUUGGUGAACUGUCACCCUCCCUCGAAUAAGACUAUCUCAAAUAAGAAUUCAAUGAUGACACAUUCCCAGCAAAAAAUAGAAUGCAGCAGCAAAGUUGCCGAAAGUAUAAGAAAUUCACAGUGUGUUUGCGCCCUCAGCUCAAGAAAAUUUCAAUCACCGAAAAGGUCAAAGCGCCACAUUUCGCAUAGGAAAGAUCGGCCUUUUUCCUGCGAUGAGUGCGCAGUGAAAUUCAUAUCCAAAAUGAAUUUGAGGAAGCAUGUUGAGCGCAUCCAUCCGGGUGCCAAAAUUCCAGAGCGCCCUGUCGCUUGCGAUCAGUGUUGUAGCAAAUUCAAAUCACGGUGCGCUUUAAAAAGUCAUUUUCUUCGCAUGCAUUCAGACCUUCGUCCUUUCACUUGCGAUCGGUGUUCGAGUAAAUUUAAAUCAAAUUAUGAGUUAAAGCGACACAUCAAGCUUGCACAUAAUGAUCUGUUGCUGGCGUGCGGUCAGUGCUCUGGGAUGUUUAAAUCAAAUGAAGAUUUACGGAUACACAUGCUGAGGAAUCAUACAAGUGAAAGAACUUUUGCUUGCAGUCAAUGUUCAAAGAAAUUUCAUUUAAACUGUAUUUUGGAGAGGCAUGUCAUGCGCAUUCACUCAGGUUAUCAACCGUUUACUUACGAUUGAUGUUCGAGCAGCAAAGGUGGAUGACAUUAAGAACAACAAACUUAUUGCGACACUGGAAAAAAAAACACAUUGGAUCUAGAGUCCAGACUCUUGAAAACAUUGACAAGAAAAAUACUCUUGAUUCAAUCGGAUUUUUGCUUGAAUCAAAACGAAA